UCUGCCCACUGAAUUUAUUUUAAGGGCUGCAGUAUAUUGACUGUACAAAGGUAGCAUAAUCAAUAGUCUUUUAAUUGAAGACUUGUAUGAAUGAUUUGAUGAAAUAUAAACUGUCUCUUUAUUAAAAAUAAAAUUUAAUUUUUUAGUUAAAAAGCUAAAAUAAUUAUAAAAGACGAGAAGACCCUAUAGAGUUUUAUAUUUAUUUUAUUUAGAAAUUAUUUAUAUAAUUUAAAUAUAUAAUAAUUUAAAUAUUUUAUUGGGGUGAUAGAAAAAUUAAAUAAACUUUUUUUAAAUUUUAACAUUAAUUUAUGAAAUUAUGAUCCAUAAUUUAUGAUUAAAAGAAAAAAUUACCUUAGGGAUAACAGCGUAAUUUUUUUUUUUAGUUCAAAUAAAAAAAAGAGUUUGCGACCUCGAUGUUGGAUUAAGAUAAAAUUUAAAUGCAAAAGUUUAAAAUUUUUGAUCUGUUCGAUCAUUAAAAUCUUACAUGAUCUGAG
rnacentral:rRNA from 1 species